GACGUAGGGCGCAAGCGUUGUCCGGAUUUAUUGGGCGUAAAGAGCUCGUAGGCGGCUUGUCGCGUCGACUGUGAAAACCCGCAGCUUAACUGCGGGACUGCAGUCGAUACGGGCAGGCUAGAGUUCGGUAGGGGAGACUGGAAUUCCUGGUGUAGCGGUGAAAUGCGCAGAUAUCGAGAGGAACACCUGCGGCGAAGGCGGGUAGCUGGGCCGACACUGACGCUGAUGCGCGAAAGCCAGGGGAGCGAACGGG
rnacentral:rRNA from 1 species